rnacentral:rRNA from 1 species
GAUGAACGCUAGCGGCAGGCCUAACACAUGCAAGUCGUGGGGUAAUCUUGAUAGCAAUAUUAAGAACGACCGGCGCACGGGUGAGUAACGCGUAUGCAACCUGCCUCUAACCGAGGGAUAGCCCGGAGAAAUUCGGAUUAAUACCUCAUAAUAUCCUAGAUUCGCAUGUUUUUAGGAUUAAAGCUCCGGCGGUUAGAGAUGGGCAUGCGUGCCAUUAGUUUGUUGGUGAGGUAACGGCUCACCAAGACUACGAUGGCUAGGGGGUCUGAGAGGAUGAUCCCCCACACUGGUACUGAGAUACGGACCAGACUCCUACGGGUGGCAG